rnacentral:rRNA from 1 species
AACGAACGCUGGCGGCGCGCCUAAUACAUGCAAGUCGAGCGAGAAGACGUAGCAAUACGUUUGUAAAGCGGCGAACGGGUGAGGAAUACAUGGGUAACCUACCCUCGAGUGGGGAAUAACUAGCCGAAAGGUUAGCUAAUACCGCAUACGACUCCCGGUCUGCGGAUCGGGAGGGAAAGCGAUACCGUGGGUAUCGCGCUCUUGGAUGGGCUCAUGUCCUAUCAGCUUGUUGGUGAGGUAACGGCUCACCAAGGCUUCGACGGGUAGCUGGUCUGAGAGGACGAUCAGCCACACUGGCACUGCGACACGGGCCAGACUCCUACGGGAGGCAGCAGUAAGGAAUAUUGCGCAAUGGGCGACAGCCUGACGCAGCGACGCCGCGUGGGGGAUGAAGGUCUUCGGAUUGUAAACCCCUUUCGGCAGGGAAGAUGGAACGGGUAACCGUUCGGACGGUACCUGCAGAAGCAGCCACGGCUAACUUCGUGCCAGCAGCCGCGGUAAUACG